rnacentral:rRNA from 1 species
UAAUACGUAGGGGGCAAGCGUUGUCCGGAUUUAUUGGGCGUAAAGAGCGUGUAGGCGGCUUGGUAGGUCCGCUGUGAAAACUCGAGGCUCAACCUCGAGAUGUCGGCGGAAACCACUUGGCUAGAGUCCGGAAGAGGAGAGUGGAAUUCCCGGUGUAGCGGUGAAAUGCGCAGAUAUCGGGAAGAACACCUAUGGCGAAGGCAGCUCUCUGGGACGGUACUGACGCUGAGACGCGAAAGCGUGGGGAGCGAACAGGAUUAGAUACCCUGGUAGUCCACGCCGUAAACGAUGGGUGCUAGGUGUGGGCGGUGUCGACUCCGUCCGUGCCGAAGCUAACGCAUUAAGCACCCCGCCUGGGGAGUACGGCCGCAAGGCUA